GCUAAAUUGCAUAUCUGUGGAAAAUGCUAAUCUGCAUCUCUAUAGAGAAUGAUAAGCUGUAAAUCUAUAGAGAAUGCUGAAUUGUUAACCGUAUUUAAAUAUGCAAACGAUAAAAUUAAAAGUUUCUACUCGUUAAAACCGAAGCUGGCCAGAUCGCAGCUAAUUAAUUUUUAAAAUUAAACGAGUCGGACGCGAAUUAUUAUUAUUUAUCGUAAAAUAAAGCGAAUCCUACCUACAACGUAAAUCUAUUAUAGUGGAGUCAGAAAUUUCUUUAUUAAAGUUAACGCAGACUCAGUAUGCUGUAAUUAUGGAUAAUCUAUUGUCACAGAGCGCAUUUAAAUUCGUGGCAUUUGUGAAAGCCCAGACGGCAAAGAGAGAAGGAGGAGGGACAAUAGUAUUCAACGAAAACGAGGCAGUGUCUUUGGUUGGAGGCUAUCUCGUCCGCACGACGUGCCUGAAGCUGGGGACGCUAGUUAAUGGAAGAAGGCUGUGGUUAUUGUCCUUCUCUGCAUCAUUGUUGUCUGCCGUCAAACUGGCACAAUUACUCCCGGCACACGAACGUGUCUGGAUCCACUAAAUAUCUCUUUUACUUUCACUUUCCAACCUAUAUGUUGACGUAUUCCUCUGUAAAAGCAGAAAAAUCACUAUUCUGUUAUCUUCUUCAAUCCUUUUAUGGACGUUCCACGUGCAGCACUUACUCCUAACUAAUUCCAAGUGGAAAACUUAUUCACUUUGGAUAAAAAUAAUAAAAAAAAUAAAAUAAAAAAUCG
rnacentral:lncRNA from 1 species